GGCGAGAUGGCCGAGUUGGUCUAAGGCGUGAGACUAAGGUUAGCUUAUCUCAUCUCUUCGGGGGCGUGGGUUCAAAUCCCACUCUCGUCA
rnacentral:tRNA from 1 species